rnacentral:rRNA from 1 species
AUUGAACGCUGGCGGCAGGCCUAACACAUGCAAGUCGAACGAGUGGCGGACGGGUGAGUAAUGUCUGGGAAACUGCCCGAUGGAGGGGGAUAACUACUGGAAACGGUAGCUAAUACCGCAUACCAUCGGAUGUGCCCAGAUGGGAUUAGCUAGUAGGUGGGGUAACGGCUCACCUAGGCGACGAUCCCUAGCUGGUCUGAGAGGAUGACCAGCCAAAGUGGAACUGAGACACGGUCCGUACUCCUACGGGAGGCAGCAGUGGGGAAUAUUGCCCAAUGGGCGCAAUCCUGAUGCAGCCAUGCCGCGUGUAUUAAGAAUGCCUUCGGGUUGUAAAGUACUUUCGGCGAGGAGGCGUUACUCGCAGAAGAAGCACCGGCUAACUCCGUGCCAGCAGCCGCGGUAAUUC